UGGGAAAGUUCAGUCGGUAGAGCAUGAGGCUCUUAAUCUCAGGGUCUCAGGGUUCAAGCCCCAUGUUGGGCAAAA